rnacentral:rRNA from 1 species
GAGCAUUGGCGGCAUGCUUACCAUGCAAGUCGAGCGGUAAGGCCCUUCGGGGUACACGAGCGGCGAACGGGUGAGUAACACGUGAGCAACCUGCCCCUGACUCCGGGAUAAGCGGUGGAAACGCCGUCUAAUACCGGAUACGACCGGCCGCCUCAUGGUGGCCGGUGGAAAGUUUUUCGGUUGGGGAUGGGCUCGCGGCCUAUCAGCUUGUUGGUGGGGUAAAGGCCUACCAAGGCGAUUACGGGUAGCCGGCCUGAGAGGGCGACCGGCCACACUGGGACUGAGACACGGCCCAGACUCCUGCGGGAGGCAGCAGUGGGGAAUAUUGCGCAAUGGGCGAAAGCCUGACGCAGCGACGCCGCGUGGGGGAUGACGGCCUUCGGGUUGUAAACCUCUUUUACCACCAACGCAGGCUCCCAGUUCUCUGGGGGUUGACGGUAGGUGGGGAAUAAGGACCGGCUAACUACGUGCCAGCAGCCGCGGUAAUACGUAGGGUCCGAGCGUUGUCCGGAAUUAUUGGGCGUAAAGAGCUCGUAGGCGGCGUGUCGCGUCUGCUGUGAAAGACCGGGGCUUAACUCCGGUUCUGCAGUGGAUACGGGCAUGCUAGAGGUAGGUAGGGGAGACUGGAAUUCCUGGUGUAGCGGUGAAAUGCGCAGAUAUCAGGAGGAACACCGGUGGCGAAGGCGGGUCUCUGGGCCUUACCUGACGCUGAGGAGCGAAAGCAUGGGGAGCGAACAGGAUUAGAUACCCUGGUAGUCCAUGCCGUAAACGUUGGGCGCUAGGUGUGGGGACUUUCCACGGUUUCCGCGCCGUAGCUAACGCAUUAAGCGCCCCGCCUGGGGAGUACGGCCGCAAGGCUAAAACUCAAAGGAAUUGACGGGGGCCCGCACAAGCGGCGGAGCAUGUUGCUUAAUUCGACGCAACGCGAAGAACCUUACCAAGGUUUGACAUCACCCGUGGACCUGCAGAGAUGUGGGGUCAUUUAGUUGGUGGGUGACAG